UGAAGUCGUAACAAGGUAGCCGUAUCGGAAGGUGCGGCUGGAUCACCUCCUUUCUAUGGAGAAUUGAUGAACGCUGUUCAUCAAUAAAGUUUCCGUGUUUCGUUUUGUUCAGUUUUGAGAGAACUAUCUCUCAUAUAUAAAUGUAUGUUCUUUGAAAACUAGAUAACAGUGUAGCUCAUAUUUUUUAAUUUUUAGUUUGGUUAAGUUAGAAAGGGCGCACGGUGGAUGCCUUG
rnacentral:misc_RNA from 1 species